rnacentral:rRNA from 1 species
GACGAACGCUGGCGGCGUGCCUAAUACAUGCAAGUAGAACGCUGAAGGAGGAGCUUGCUUCUCUGGAUGAGUUGCGAACGGGUGAGUAACGCGUAGGUAACCUGCCUGGUAGCGGGGGAUAACUAUUGGAAACGAUAGCUAAUACCGCAUAAUAGCAGUUGUUGCAUGACAACUGUUUGAAAGGUGCAAUUGCACCACUACCAGAUGGACCUGCGUUGUAUUAGCUAGUUGGUGGGGUAACGGCUCACCAAGGCGACGAUACAUAGCCGACCUGAGAGGGUGAUCGGCCACACUGGGACUGAGACACGGCCCAGACUCCUACGGGAGGCAGCAGUAGGGAAUCUUCGGCAAUGGACGGAAGUCUGACCGAGCAACGCCGCGUGAGUGAAGAAGGGUUUCGGAUCGUAAAGCUCUGUUGUAAGAGAAGAACGAGUGUGAGAGUGGAAAGUUCACACUGUGACGGUAUCUUACCAGAAAGGGUCGGCUAACUACGUG